AAAAAAGACCUUUGUCAGAGAAUCAAAAGAAUGUUUGAUUUAUAGUGUCACGGUGAGGAUGCGUACACCGGAUAUUGCCAUUUAGUGAUAAGGUAUUUUUCGAAAACGUGUUUAUUUUUCGUCAACAAGAUUCAACUUGUGUAUGUGUGUUUAUGACUGGCUCGACGAACGAAUUUAAGGACAUUGUAUGUCAUUUUGUUGAACACCACCCAAAUGACGAGAAUAUAUUCGUAUGCUAACGACCAAAACCGCAAAAAAGUAAAUUACAAGAUAGCACCAGACAUAUGCAGAGAAAAAAAAAGCAGAAAAAAUACUGUUGAUUCAGAAAAUAUUAACAUACAUGUUUUAAAAAGGAACCCGAUUACAAAAGGGACCAAUUUGCAACAGAAAGAAACCUUUGAUUUGGGCAAAUAGUGAGGAGCCUGUUCACUGACUGUAGUGGAAAUGUAUGCUACCUACCACGCCAUCUAGCUCAAUAUUUACACAAUGCUACCAGUACAAAAAUAUAAUCUAGAGACACAUUCACGGCGGUAUACAUGGACAUUUCAAUGUUACACAGAGUGCAAUUUCCAUGGACAGACAAGGUUUUCGGACAGUAUUGUUAAACAGUCUAUGAAAGAAUGAGACAAAAAAGAUGAAUGAAUAAAUAACCUUUAAUCAGUUUGUUUGCCAAGAAACGUUUUCUUAAACUGAUUUUAUAGUUUCCUAUAUUUUUUGACGUCGCAAAAUGUUUUCAUCGACAACUUGGUUAAUUUGAGGUAUAGUGAAGACUGCAAGUUGCUUGAAGAGCAGACUUAUAACUCUUCCAAUGAAAUUACAAUUAUACAACUGCUUGCAUAACAGAGACCGCAUUUCUGCCGCUAAAUUAAGAGGAAAGAGAAAAGCAAACAGACAAAUACUUAUUGACAUUAAAAGAAGUAGCUAGUAACUGCAUAAAUGUGAUGAGUGUACAUUACUUCCACAUAAGACUGGGCAUUGAUACUGAAAUAGGUUCUGUUGUGACAUAUUUAUUUUACCAAACAUUAUUUGACAAGCAAUAUUGUAAAAGCCAUGGUUUACUUUGAUAAAGAACAAAUAGUCAUGUACAUUGAAAUAUUUAUUAAACAAACUUGAAACCUAGACACACUUUCUUUCUAAUCCUUUCCACCAACUGUACUUGUAAUGCUAGUAUAUAAAUAUAGUUAUGUAUAUUGUUGGGAAUAAAUAUGUUUAAACCAAA